rnacentral:lncRNA from 1 species
GUUUUUUUUUUUUGAGGCUAUUAUUUCUGACUGGGAUUUGCUAGAUAUCCUUAUGUAUUGUAAAGCCAGUUAAAAUGAAUCUAUAGAUUUUGGAAAAACUAAGUGAAUGGAGAGUUAUAUACAAAAGAAACAACAUGGUUUUCCAAAAGCUGAUAGAUGAAAAGCCAACAAUGUAAUCCAACAUGAGGUUGCACAUCUGUCAAAUCUCAGUCAGAAAUAAUAGCUUUAAAAGAGAAGAAGUAUACGUAGAAUAUACUAAAUGCAUCCAAGUCAGAAAGCUCCAGCAGGAUGUCAGGAAGGGUAAGAUUAACACAGUCCUAGGGGAAAAAAUAUUGGAACAAGAUUUGUGGAUAGACCAACUAGGAGCCAAAAUAAUUCAAAACAUCAGAAGAGAGGACAUGACACUCAUUGCAGGGUUCCUUAACAUUACAGAGAGUGUUGAUGUUAAUGUAUAGCUAUGUGUAGUUUUAGCAACUACACAUGAUAUUAACCAAAAU